rnacentral:snoRNA from 1 species
CCCCUCUUCCUCCUUUUGUCAACAGACAUUCCUGUAUUCACUGGUCAUUCGGGGGAGGUAAAGAACAGAUAUUUUAAAAACACAAGCUAGCUGGGUGCUUGUGUCAGGUCACAUGAGACACAG